UCAGUCGGGAAUCAAUGGUCUGGUCGCAGAUUGGUGACAUCAUUGGCGCGCCGGGCGUGGGAGGAAGAACCACGUGAUUCAACCUCUUUUGUUUGCGCUCUAGGAAAUUAAGGCUCAUAAAGUGACAUAAGGAGUAUUCCCUUUUUUUGUAUCCUCUGGAAGAAUUUUAAUAAGAUUGGAGUGAUUUUCCUUUCAAGCAUCAGUAGAAUUCACCAGUAAAACUGUCUGGAGCUGGGUGCAGUGGCUUACACCUAUAAUCUCAACUACUUGAGAGGCUCAAGCAGGAGGAUCACUUGAGGCAAGGAAUUCAAGACCAGACUGAGCAACAAGACUCCAUCUCCAAAAAACAAAAACCAAACAAAACAGAACAGAACAGCACAGCAAAACCAUCUCGGCUGGGUAUUUUCCUUGUGUGAAGUUUGUAAAAUACGACUUUGGUUUAUUUAAUAGUUAUGAAACUGUUCAAUUAUUUUCUUUCUCCUUGAGUCAGUUUAAUAAAAUAAUAGGUUCUAGAAUUUUUUCCAUGUCAUCUAAGGGUUUAAGCUCAUUGGCAUAGUUAUUGAUUGUAUUAUCUUCUUAAUCUCUGCUGUAUUUAUAGCUCUUUUUUCAUUUAUAAUAUUACUUGUGGUAGACUGUGUUAUUGCUCUCCAAAUAUUUGUUCCUUUUCUUAUAAGAGGACUAUACAUUUCUACCUAAUGCUAUGUGACUUGAGGUGACUCUUGUGACAGAAGAAUGCAUACCCAACCAGCUGUCAAUGGGCUUGAUCAUCGUACAUGAACAGAAACUUUAAAAGAUAUCGUACAUGUUUCUACCAGCUUUCUUGCUCUUUUCUCUCUUCCAUGAGAAUGGCAUGUGCGUGAUUGGGGACCCCAGAAUGAAGAAUACAUGUGGAGGAGAGCCCAGCAGAGUCAACAUAUAUAGCAAAUAAGAAAUAAACACAGAGAUUUGGGA